AUUGAACGCUGGCGGCAGGCCUAACACAUGCAAGUCGAGCGGAUGAAGUGAGCUUGCUUCUGGAUUCAGCGGCGGACGAGUGAGUAUUUCCUAGGAAUCUGCCUGGUCGUGGGGGAUAACGUCCGGAUACGGGCGCUAAUACCGCAUCCGUCCUGAGGGAUAAAGUGGGGGAUCUUCGUACCUCACUCUAUCAGAUUAACCUAGGUCGGAUUCGCUAGUUGGUGGGGUAAAGGACUACCAAGGCGAUGAUCCGUAACUGGUCUGAGAGGAUGAUGAGUCAAACUGGAACUGAGACACGGUCAAGACUCCUACGGGAGGCAGAAGUGGGGAAUAUUGGACAAAGGGCGAAGGCCUGAUCAAGACAGGCCGCGGGUGGGAAGAAGGUCUUCGGAUUGAAAAGCACGUUAAGAGGGGAGGAAGGGCAGUAAGUUAAUACCUUGAUGAAGUGACGGUAACAACAGAAUAAGCACCGGCUAACUUCGUG
rnacentral:rRNA from 1 species